AUCGUUGGUGGCUUAUUUGAACCCGACUCCCCUUUCUCUGUCGUCUCUCUUCCCAAGGCCUCCGGCGAUCCCUCUUCUCGCCGGCGGCCAUGGAAGCUCUCCACGAAUCAAUAGGCCGACGGACGGUGGACAUCCCUUCUCCGCCUCCUCGGUGGUCGCCCAUUCCUUCCUCUCUCAAACCCUAGGUUCACAGAAAGGAGGCAGAUCGACAAAGGAGGAACUCAGAGAAGGGAGGGCGCGGACUCCGCUCUCCAGUUCUCUUACUUUGUAUCCAUCUUCCAGAACGCCGACACCGCGGAGAUGUUCCUGUUGUAGCUUCGAACUGGAUAGGAAAGAGGUCAAAACAGAACAUGGUGAUAGCUGAUAACAAAUUAUGACGAUUCUUGCAGGACCUUCGCAUUCUCAUGAAUCUCAUGUGACAAGAGUUAAAGAGUGCCUGCCACCACGGGUGGUCACAGACCAAGAAUCUUGAGAGCUUGAAAGUUGAAGGGGACCUCUUUAUCAAGAGAAGAUUUAUUUGGUCUAAAUUAAUGGGUGUGAAAUUUCUCUCCACAAAUUUCUGAUCCUGAAGGCUUUUGGAUAAGGGCAUUUACCCACCAUGGAAUCCUAUCAUGUGAUUGUGGUUGAGUAGCAUACAGAACUCUUUCCAUUACAAGAUGUUUUUCUCAAAUUGUACCCACCAUGGUCCUAUCAGCAAUAAACAAUAUCUCUGAUUUCAAUAUCCUUAUGAAAUUUUCUAGUGGAUGCCUGUAAUUAUUGACACAUAUUUCCAAGGUGUCACAACCUAAGCAUCAACUUGUUAAGCAUCCCAGCAUUCUGUUACUUCUACAAUGAAAGCAAGUUCAUU